UAGGGAAUAUUGGGCAAUGGAGGCAACUCUGACCCAGCCAUGCCGCGUGCAGGACGAAGGCGCUCAGCGUUGUAAACUGCUUUUGCCCUUGAAGAACGGCAGACCUGCGGGUUUGUGUGACGGUAAAGGGUGAAUAAGCACCGGCUAACUCCGUGCCAGCAGCCGCGGUAAUACGGAGGGUGCAAGCGUUGUCCGGAUUUAUUGGGUUUAAAGGGUGCGUAGGCGGGCUGUUAAGUCUGGUUUGAAAGCUGGUGGCUUAACCAUCAGAUGUGGCUGGAUACUGGGAGUCUUGAAAUUGUUGGAGGCAGCCGGAACGGGUCGUGUAGCGGUGAAAUGCAUAGAGAUGACCCAGAACACCAAUUGCGUAGGCAGGCUGCUACGACUGAUUUGACGCUGAGGCACGAGAGCAUGGGGAGCAAACAG
rnacentral:rRNA from 1 species